AUUAGGGAAAGGGGUGAUGAGAUUUGAUUUGGGAUAUGAAAGGGUAACUAAAGUAGUUGCAGAAAACCAGGAGGCUGCUAAUUUAAUUAGUCUCCUUUUGAAGACAUCUGAUCAGGCCCUUGUCACCACCCAGUUUUUUCGACUCCUGAUUGGCUGAUGUUUUCAAGUCAAGGAGGAACCUAGAAGGGGAAGGAAUUUUAUGAUGUCAGUAUGCACUUACGAGGGCUGUAAAUUGGCUUUCUUGGGCAACAAGCAUUACCUUUUGCAGGUGGGUCUUUGGGACCAACAGACCCAAAGAAACUCUCCUAUGAGACUGGAAGUGGCUUCCUCCACUUAGGCUUCCUCUGGAAUCUAAAAGGACGUGGUGCAGCAGUAAUGAAGGCAUAGUUGCUAAGAGGCCACAGAUGUGACUUGUUGAAUGAAAAAAAAAGCAUAACCAGUAAGUUGAAAUUAUGUUGUGUUUGAUGGACAAAACUGAGAACUUAAGCCCAGGACAUAGCUUCUCAGAUGGCUCCGAGGGACUGCUCUGAAGAGGUAAGGGGAGAGCCAGGAUAUAUAGGAGUUUUUGAGACAAAGACCAGAUAGAACAUCAAAAGAUUCCUGUUAAUUAAACAAAACCAGACAUCUCAAGUUAAGGAAUUUAGUGCUUUUCUAGGUAUGGGAAGAUGCAAGAGUCUGGGCUCACCGGAAUCAUUCUUUUGAUAGGCACCUCGUCUCGGGCCACUUUCCUGUGCUUUCUUACCUUGAGUUUCCUCAGGGUGCACUGUGAGGGGCAGAGAAGCUGGAGAAGAGAGGAUGCAGCAGCUGACUGCUUGAUGGUAGGCUUUCUGUUUCUAUGCUGAGCUCCCUCAGGGCUCACUGUUGGGGCGGCUGUAAUGUGAUGCUGCAACAUCCUUUGUUUGCAGAUAUGGUGGGCAACAUUUUUUUCAUCAACAGACCCGGCCAGCUGAAGCUCAUGGGCUGCACUGACGUGAUGGGGGCAGCUCUACGUCGACAAGAACACAACUGGCUGCGGAUCAAAUGGCCAAACAAUUGUGAGCUGAUUCAAGGAUGCAGCCUUGAGAGAGUAAGGUGUUGCUGAGACCAUCUGGACAUGAUACAGCACUGAACCCCAUCAAGACCUCUAGAAACGGCUGAAAUACAGGCGGGCUGGUGGAUGCUGAGAUCUGCUUGUCUUGUGGCACCCAAAACAAGCCUCACAGGUAAGUUUCCGUGAUGUUAAACCUGCCACCUACCAGUCUGGAGUGGCUGCCUCUUUUCUUACUCUCUCUGUGCCCUCCGUGUGCACAGCAGCUUUUGAAUUUUAUACCGGAAGCUCCUGAAGUUUCUAGCACCUGGGCCAUGCCUAGUAGAAGGUUCUCUGCUGCUCAUGGGUGAGGUAUGGAGAAAAGUGAUAGCUUAUUUUAUUGUCCAAAUAUUGGCUGCCUUUGUGCAACGAUGCCAAAUAGCAAUGCGGAGUCAAAGUUGAAGGAAACAGAAAAAGUAGCUUUCAUUGCCAGGCAAAGAGGGGAACACAGCAGGCUAGGGCCUCAAGUACUGUGCCCCCUUGGAGGGGGUAGUGAGGAGCCUUCACUGUCAAAGAGAAAGGCGUGAUCAGUUCAUGGACACUUUCAUGGGUGGGAGGCCAGGUCACUGGAAGUCAGCUUCAUCAACCUGCGUCCAACCGGUCUGGGGUCGAGUGCUUGUAGUGAGCAUAUGGUUGACUUCUUCCACCUGGUGGGGGCUUCAGCACAUGCAAAAUGGCUCUGUGGACAUGGCUCAGAAUAUUAUCUGUAGCCCUUGAGGAAGAACUAAAGGUCCUUGACGUUAUUGAAUGGCUAAACUAUUAUUAUUCUGUCUUGCUUGACUGUUUUCCUUUUUCUCUUUUCUCACUUCUUUGAUUAAAUUGGUUCUUUAAAGAUUUUCUACAGAUUUAAAACAAACAAAAAAAAGACAGGUGGAGGAUAUGAGUGGGGGUCUGUUCCGGGUACCCCUCAAAGGUUUCUGCUCAGUAACAAUCUGAUCUGUUCUGUUCAUUGCUUUGAGUGUAUUGUCUGGAGAGGAUGUGGGGGGACUUAAAUGGAGAAUGUAGAGAUCUUCCUUCUGGCUGUGUCUAGAGGGGCCUGAAGGAGUGAGAGAGGCUUUGACGAAUUGGGAUGGGGAGGCCACAGUUACAGGGAGAACUCUUGGAUGUUUCGAAAAAGAUCUUUUUAGGAAGCAUUUUCUUUUACUCCUUGGUUUGUUGUUUAUGGUCUAAUCAAGGUCAUUGAAUAUUCUGAUUCCCACUGAAGUUCCAAUUUGGAUUCUUUUUUUUUUUUUUUUUUUUUUUGCUUUUUAGGGCUGCACUCACAUCAUUUAGAAAUUCCCAGGCUAGGGGUUGAAUCAGAGCUACAGCUGCUGGCCACAACCACAGUAGCACCAGAUCUGAGCCACAUCUGCAACCUACACCACAGCUCAUGGCAGUGCCAGAUUCUUAACCCACUGAGCAAGGCCAGGGAUUUAACCCGUAUCCUCAUGGAUACUAGUUGGGUUUGUUAACCACUGAUCCAUGAAGGGAACUCCCCAGUUUGGAUUCUUGAGGCUAGAUAGAAAUCCAUUCAUUUGGGUUAAGAUGAAAUUCUACCCUCCCAUCCCCAGUAGUGAAUUCCUACCUGGAAUUCUAUCAAUGAAAUCUUUUCUGACUGGACAACCAGCAAGGAGGGACCCAGGACAGUAAGUUUCAGUCGGGGUCCAAAGUGUGGACAACUGUCGAAACAGAGGAAAUCACUUAAGGAAUUAUGGCCAUAGGCUUCAGCAGCAGGAAGGACUUCAGUACCUAAUGGGGGGAAUGUGUCAGAGAAGGGGAAGAGAGGCAUGUAAAGGGAGAAAAGCAGCAAUAAACUUGCCAGGGGCCAAUAGAUCUUGGUUCGAAUCCCACCCCUGCCACUUAGUGGCUGUGUGAUCUUGAGGAAGUUAUCUUAACCUCUCUGAGCAUUAGUGUUCUAAUUUAAAGUGGAAUUGAUUAGCUCAUAGAGUUGUCAGGGUUAAACAAGAAUAUGGGAGUAAUGACAGGGAUCUUUACGGGCUGGAAAGAGCCUAGCAGGACACCUGGUUCAAAACAGGUACUCAGUAAAUGGGGGUGGGGAUUAGGUUGAUGCUCUGCCCAGAUCCACUUGGAUCCUGUUUUUGCAUGAUCCUUGGCUUUGGGUUUGCUCUCACUUCCUGCUGCUCAUGCCUCCAGCUCUCUUUUGGAGAGACUCAUGCAUUUAGGUUAG
rnacentral:lncRNA from 9 species